UAGGGAAUCUUCCGCAAUGGGCGAAAGCCUGACGGAGCAACGCCGCGUGAGUGAUGAAGGUCUUCGGAUCGUAAAACUCUGUUAUUAGGGAAGAACAAAUGUGUAAGUAACUAUGCACGUCUUGACGGUACCUAAUCAGAAAGCCACGGCUAACUACGUGCCAGCAGCCGCGGUAAUACGUAGGUGGCAAGCGUUAUCCGGAAUUAUUGGGCGUAAAGAGCGCGUAGGCGGAUUUUUAAGUAUGAUGUGAAAGCCCACGGCUCAACCGUGGGAGGUCAUUGGAAACUGGAAAUCUUGAGUGCAGAAGAGGAAUGUGGAAUUCCAGGUGAAGCGGUGAGAUGUGCAGAGAAAUGGAGGAACAACAGUGGCGAAGGCGACUUUCUGGUCUGUAACUGACGCUGAUUUGCAAAAGCGUGGGGAUCAAACAGG
rnacentral:rRNA from 1 species